UAACGCGAAGAACCUUACCUGGUCUUGACAUGUACGGAAUCUUCCAGAGACGGAAGAGUGCCUUCGGGAGCCGUAACACAGGUGCUGCAUGGCUGUCGUCAGCUCGUGUCGUGAGACGUUGGGUUAAGUCCCGCAACGAGCGCAACCCUUGUCAUUAGUUGCCACCAUUCAGUUGGGCACUCUAAUGAGACUGCCGGUGACAAACCGGAGGAAGGUGGGGAUGACGUCAAGUCCUCAUGGCCCUUAUGACCAGGGCUUCACACGUCAUACAAUGGUCGGUACAGAGGGUAGCCAAGCCGCGAGGUGGAGCCAAUCUCAGAAAACCGAUCGUAGUCCGGAUUGCACUCUGCAACUCGAGUGCAUGAAGUCGGAA
rnacentral:rRNA from 1 species